rnacentral:tRNA from 1 species
UCCUGGUGGCUCAGAUGGUAAAGAAUCUGCCUGUGACACAGAAGACCCAGGUUCAAUCCCUGGGUCAGGAA